AUCACCGUUCUUUUGUAAACCCUAACCUUCCUUCCCCUUCAUCAUGAAUCAUCAUUCUCUUCUCCAAUGGUUAAACAAACCAGGGGAUAUUGGUGUAAUCCAGUCAGAUUACUCCAUUUCGCAAAGAAUGAGAUUAAUGCAUUUCGUAUUUCUUCCUCAUUUGAUGUUGAACCACACCAUUUCGUAACUUCUGCAGGUUUUUUCAUGGUACCUUUCUUCUUCAUUAAUCGCAAUAGCUACAAAGGUUUUAAU